rnacentral:misc_RNA from 1 species
UUGCCUCCACGAUAACCUUCAUGAGGUGAACUUCUGAUGGGAGAGCUUGUUUCAACAGCAGUUAUCCUACCAACGUGGAGUGGGGCAGGGACACUUGGCGGUAACAUAUCCUUUUGUAUGGAAAUGUCACGAUAGAGAUAACUGCGUAACUCUGCAGUUACCUGCACAAGUGCAUUGCGGGCUGCUCUUAUCUCGCCUACAAUCUGUACGAGCUCAUCAGUUUCAGAUAUCCCAGGAGGAAGAUGUUCUUUUGAUAGGAUCUGGA